rnacentral:rRNA from 1 species
CCUACGGGUGGCAGCAGUGAGGAAUAUUGGUCAAUGGACGGAAGUCUGAACCAGCCAUGCCGCGUGCAGGAAGACUGCUCUAUGAGUUGUAAACUGCUUUUAUACAAGAGUAAACCUGAGUACGUGUAUUCAGCUGAAAGUACUGUACGAAUAAGGAUCGGCUAACUCCGUGCCAGCAGCCGCGGUAAUACGGAGGAUCCAAGCGUUAUCCGGAUUUAUUGGGUUUAAAGGGUGCGUAGACGGGUUGAUAAGUUAGAUGUGAAAUGUGCGGGCUUAACCCGGGAACUGCCUCUAAUACUGUUGAUCGAGAGAGUAGAUGCGGUAGGCGGAAUGUAUGGUGUAGCGGUGAAAUGCUUAGAGAUCAUACAGAACCCCGAUUGCGAAGGCAGCUUACCAAUCUAUAUCUGACGUUGAGGCACGAAAGUGUGGGGAGCAAACAGGAUUAGAUACCCGAGUAGUC